AGCCCUAAGUGGGUGGUAAACUCCAUCUAAGGCUAAAUAUGACCACGAGACCGAUAGCGAACAAGUACCGUGAGGGAAAGUUGAAAAGCACUUUGAAGAGAGAGUUCAAGAGUACGUGAAACCGUUUAGGGGUAAACCUGAGAAACCCGAAAGGUCGAAGGGAGAAAUUCAUUCGCGUUUCGCCGUAGGCGUGAGACGGUCGAGUGACGGGGGGGCGUUCGCGCGUACCCCCGCGCCUUCCGUUUUUCGAUCCGGCGGCGAACGCGUGCACUUUUCUCCUGGUAGGACGUCGCGAUCCGUUGAGUGUCGGUCUACGGCUCGCGGUGGAGCCCGGACGUACGGCUUGCGCCGUCUCACGUUCGGACCCGCGUGUCCCGGCCGACCCGCUCGACGGUAUACGAAAGGUUAAAGGCCGCUCUCGGAGCGUUCGGCUCGCGGCAAGCGCGUCAGAUGAGUUGGCGAUCGGACCCCGUGCCGAUUCUGACCUCUGGCGACUGUUGGCCGUGAAGUUCUCGAACAGACCUCUUAGACCGAUCUGCGACGCUAUCGUUUUGGGUACUUUCAG
rnacentral:rRNA from 1 species